AGGUUUCUUCCUACUAGAAUUCGAUUCUGUUCUUAAUUGAAUGGAAUAGUUAUCUCUUGGGGUAAUCAGUUGGUUAUUAUGUCUCCACUAAUAAACAGAGAGAGGUAAUACUUUUAAAGUAAGUUAUGUGGAUCAAGAUAUAGUGAUUAAUUGGAGUUCUAGUUCGUUUACUUUGAGAAAAUUAGAGUGUUUAAAGCAGCCUCUUGGGGCUCUGAAUACAUUAGCAUGGGAUAAUAAAAUAGGAUCUUUACAAUAUAUUUUAUUGGUUUAAAUUGAUUUAAAGAUAAUGAUUAAUAGGGACAGUUGGGGGUAUUCAUAUUGGGUGGUUAGCGGUGAAAUGCUCGGAUCCAUUCAAGAUGAACUAAAGCGAAAGCAUUUACCAAGGAUGUUUUCAUUAAUCAAGAACGAAAGUUAAGGGAUCGAAGACGAUUAGAUACCGUCGUAGUCUUAACUGUAAACUAUGCCGACCAGGGAUAUGAGUUGUUAGGAGUAUAUGAAAGUAUACUCAAUUUCUUCUUAUGGACCUUGUGAGAAAUCAUAAGUGUUUGGGUUCUGGGGGGAGUAUGGUCGCAAGGCUGAAACUUAAAGGAAUUGACGGAGGGGCACCACCAGGAGUGGAGCGUGCGGCUUAAUUUGACCCAACACGGGAAAACUUACCAGGUCCAGACAUUAGAAGGAUUGACAGAUUGAUAGCUCUUUCAUGAUUUGAUGGGUGGUGGUGCAUGGCCGUUCUUAGUUGGUGGAGUGAUUUGUCUGGUUAAUUCCGAUAACGAACGAGACCUUUACCAUACUAACUAGUUAUAUAUAUACAUUAUUGUAUAUAUAGAUGAACUUCUUAGAGGGACUAUUGGUUUACAAACCAAAGGAAGUAAAGGCGAUAACAGGUCUGUGAUGCCCUUAGAUGUUCUGGGCUGCACGCGGGCUACAAUGAUAAGAUCAUCAAGUUAUUUUUAACGAUUUGCUUUACUGGAAGGUAUGGCUAAUCUUAAAGUCUUAUCGUGCUUGGGAUAGAUGAUUGCAAUUAUUCAUCUCAAACCAGGAAUUCCUAGUAAUCGUAGCUCAUCAGGCUGCGAUGAUUACGUCCCUGCCCCUUGUACACACCGCCCGUCGCUGCUACCGAUUGGAUGAUCCGGUGAAAUCCUCGGAUUGACGUGAUUAUCUAGCUGUAAGGUUAGAUAUUAUGUUGAGAAGUUGAUUAAACCUUAUCAUCUAGAGGAAGCAAAAGU
rnacentral:rRNA from 1 species